rnacentral:rRNA from 1 species
UAGGGAAUAUUGGGCAAUGGAGGCAACUCUGACCCAGCCAUGCCGCGUGAAGGAAGAAGGCGUUAUGCGUUGUAAACUUCUUUUGUAUGGGAAGAAACGACCCUUGCGAGGGGCAUUGACGGUACCAUACGAAUAAGCACCGGCUAACUCCGUGCCAGCAGCCGCGGUAAUACGGAGGGUGCAAGCGUUGUCCGGAUUUAUUGGGUUUAAAGGGUGCGUAGGCGGCUUUUUAAGUCAGCGGUGAAAGUCCACAGCUUAACUGUGGGAUUGCCAUUGAUACUGAAGAGCUUGAGUAUAGUUGAGGUAGGCGGAAUUGACAGUGUAGCGGUGAAAUGCAUAGAUAUUGUCAAGAACACCGAUUGCGUAGGCAGCUUACUAAGCUAUAACUGACGCUGAGGCA